UGGGGAAUUUUGGACAAUGGGGGCAACCCUGAUCCAGCCAUCCCGCGUGUGCGAUGAAGGCCUUCGGGUUGUAAAGCACUUUUGGCAGGGAAGAAACAGCCUGGGAUAAUACCCCGGGCGACUGACGGUACCUGCAGAAUAAGCACCGGCUAACUACGUGCCAGCAGCCGCGGUAAUACGUAGGGUGCAAGCGUUAAUCGGAAUUACUGGGCGUAAAGCGUGCGCAGGCGGUUCGGAAAGAAAGGUGUGAAAUCCCAGGGCUUAACCUUGGAACUGCACUUUUAACUACCGAGCUAGAGUACGUCAGAGGGGGGUAGAAUUCCACGUGUAGCAGUGAAAUGCGUAGAGAUGUGGAGGAAUACCGAUGGCGAAGGCAGCCCCUGGGAUGAUACUGACGCUCAUGCACGAAAGCGUGGGGAGCAAACAGGAUUAGAUACCCUGGUAGUCCACGCCCUAAACGAUGUCAACUAGCUGUUGGGGUUUAUUAACCUUAGUAGCGCAGCUAACGCGUGAAGUUGACCGCCUGGGGAGUACGGUCGCAAGAUUAAAACUUAAAUGAAUUGACGGGGGUCAUAGCUGUUUUCCUG
rnacentral:rRNA from 1 species